rnacentral:rRNA from 1 species
GAGUGAACGCUGGCGGUAGGCCUAACACAUGCAAGUCGAACGGCAGCACAGUAAGAGCUUGCUCUUACGGGUGGCGAGUGGCGGGCGGGUGAGGAAUACAUCGGAAUCUACUUUUUCGUGGGGGAUAACGUAGGGAAACUUACGCUAAUACCGCAUACGACCUACGGGUGAAAGCAGGGGAUCUUCGGACCUUGCGCGAUUGAAUGAGCCGAUGUCGGAUUAGCUAGUUGGCGGGGUAAAGGCCCACCAAGGCGACGAUCCGUAGCUGGUCUGAGAGGAUGAUCAGCCACACAGGAACUGAGACACGGUCCAGACUCCUACGGGAGGCAGCAGUGGGGAAUAUUGGACAAUGGGCGCAAGCCUGAUCCAGCCAUACCGCGUGGGUGAAGAAGGCCUUCGGGUUGUAAAGCCCUUUUGUUGGGAAAGAAAAGCAGCAGGUUAAUACCCCGCUGUUCUGACGGUACCCAAAGAAUAAGCACCGGCUAACUUCGUG